rnacentral:rRNA from 1 species
UACGGGGGGGCAAGCGUUGUUCGGAAUUACUGGGCGUAAAGGGCUCGUAGGCGGCCAACUAAGUCAGACGUGAAAUCCCUCGGCUUAACCGGGGAACUGCAUCUGAUACUGGAUGGCUUGAGUUCGGGAGAGGGAUGCGGAAUUCCAGGUGUAGCGGUGAAAUGCGUAGAUAUCUGGAGGAACACCGGUGGCGAAGGCGGCAUCCUGGACCGACACUGACGCUGAGGAGCGAAAGCCAGGGGAGCAAACGGG